UACAGAGGGGGCAAGCGUUGUUCGGAAUUACUGGGUGUAAAGGGUGCGUAGGUUGUCGAGUAAGUUAGAUGUGAAAUCUCAGGGCUUAACUCUGAAAUUGCAUUUAAUACUGCUUGACUAGAAUAUGGGAGAGGGAAAUGGAAUUCUCGGUGUAAGAGUGAAAUCUGCAGAUAUCGAGAGGAACACCAGUAGCGAAGGCGAUUUCCUGGCCCAAUAUUGACACUGAGUGCACGAAAGCUAGGGGAGCAAACGGGAUUAGAUACCCCGGUAGUCCUAGCUGUAAACGAUGAGGACUAGGUGUUGGUUUGCCAUUGGCAGAUCAGUGCCGAAGCUAACGCAUUAAGUCCUCCACCUGGGGAGUACGCUCGCAAGAGUGAA
rnacentral:rRNA from 1 species